rnacentral:rRNA from 1 species
UACGUAGGGGCCUAGCGUUGUCCGGAUUUACUGGGCGUAAAGGGCGCGUAGGCGGUCGUGACAAGUCACUUGUGAAAUCUCCGGGCUUAACUCGGAACGGUCAAGUGAUACUGUCGGACUAGAGUACAGAAGGGGCAACUGGAAUUCUCGGUGUAGCGGUGAAAUGCGUAGAUAUCGAGAGGAACACCUGCGGCGAAGGCGGGUUGCUGGGCUGAUACUGACGCUGAGGCGCGAAAGCCAGGGGAGCGAACGGG